AAAUAUUCUGUGCGUAAUACUUGGCAUGCCUCAAAGCUCUGGAUUAACCCGGAUCUUCCUCAAGCUAUUGAUUUUAAGUCCAGAAUGGCAAGUGUGAAUGAAGCUAACUCUGCCAGGAUCAGUCAAAUACCUUCUCAGCGUAGUUAUUCUGUUUCUGACGAGUUGGCUACUGGAACUGUAGAAGUUAAAACUAUUAGCUAAUUGGUCGACUGCAUGGAGGAAGGACAUAUUUGGAUUGUUGCGACUGUAGUGAAUCUUCUACUUGAAAAAGAAUGGUCAUAUUUGGGGUGCAAGAGAUGCUCGAAGAAGGUUGACAAAAUUGGAAGUAAAUUUCACUGCAAGAAAUGUGAUCGCCUUGAU